rnacentral:rRNA from 1 species
AUGUCCGGGCGUGGCAAGGGAGGCAAGGGGCUCGGCAAGGGCGGCGCCAAGCGCCACAGGAAGGUUCUGCGCGACAACAUCCAGGGCAUCACCAAGCCGGCGAUCCGGCGGCUGGCGCGGAGGGGCGGCGUGAAGCGCAUCUCGGGGCUCAUCUACGAGGAGACCCGCGGCGUGCUCAAGAUCUUCCUCGAGAACGUCAUCCGCGACGCCGUCACCUACACCGAGCACGCCCGCCGCAAGACCGUCACCGCCAUGGACGUCGUCUACGCGCUCAAGCGCCAGGGGCGCACCCUCUACGGCUUCGGCGGCUAG